rnacentral:rRNA from 1 species
CAAUAGCGUAUAUUAAAGUUGUUGCAGUUAAAAAGCUCGUAGUUGGAUUUCUGGCAGGAGCGACCGGUCACACACUCUGUGUGUGAACUUGCGUUGUCUCUGGCCAUCCUUGGGAAGAUCCUGUUUGGCAUUAAGUUGUCGGGCAGGGGAUACCCAUCGUUUACUGUGAAAAAAUUAGAGUGUUUAAAGCAGGCUUAUGCCGUUGAAUAUAUUAGCAUGGAAUAAUAAGAUAGGACUUCGGAACUAUUUUGUUGGUUUGCGUUACGAAGUAAUGAUUAAUAGGGACAGUUGGGGGUAUUCGUAUUUCGUUGUCAGAGGUGAAAUUCUUGGAUUUCCGAAAGACGAACUACUGUGAAAGCAUUUACCAAGGAUGUUUUCAUUAA